rnacentral:rRNA from 1 species
GGAAUAUUGCGCAAUGGACGAAAGUCUGACGCAGCGACGCCGCGUGUGGGAGGAAGCCCUUCGGGGUGUAAACCACUGUCAGGGGGGAAGAACUCCGAUCCUGCGAAUAGUUGGGUCGGGUGACGGUACCCCCAGAGGAAGCGCCGGCUAACUCCGUGCCAGCAGCCGCGGUAAGACGGAGGGCGCGAGCGUUGUUCGGAAUUACUGGGCGUAAAGCGCGGGCAGGCGGUCUGUUAAGUCUCCUGUGAAACUCCGGGGCUCAACUCCGGACAUGCAGAAGAUACUGGCGGACUGGAGACCGGUAGAGGCAAGCGGAAUUCCUGGUGUAGCGGUGGAAUGCGUAGAUAUCAGGAAGAACACCCGUGGCGAAGGCGGCUUGCUGGGCCGGUUCUGACGCUCAUCCGCGAAAGCGUGGGGAGCAAAC